AGAGUUUGAUCCUGGCUCAGGAUGAACGCUGGCGGCGUGCCUAACACAUGCAAGUCGAACGAAGCUUGACGGAUGAUUUCUUCGGAAUGAAACCUGAUAUGACUUAGUGGCGGACGGGUGAGUAACACGUGAGCAACCUGCCUUUCAGAGGGGGAUAACGGCUGGAAACGGUCGCUAAUACCGCAUGAUGUGUUCGGAUGGCAUCAUCUGAACAUCAAAGAUUUAUCGCUGAAAGAUGGGCUCGCGUCUGAUUAGAUAGUUGGUGGGGUAACGGCCUACCAAGUCUACGAUCAGUAGCCGGACUGAGAGGUUGAACGGCCACAUUGGGACUGAGAUACGGCCCAGACUCCUACGGGAGGCAGCAGUGGGGAAUAUUGCACAAUGGGGGAAACCCUGAUGCAGCAACGCCGCGUGAAGGAUGACGGUUUUCGGAUUGUAAACUUCUUUUCUUAGUGACGAAGACAGUGACGGUAGCUAAGGAAUAAGCAUCGGCUAACUACGUGCCAGCAGCCGCGGUAAUACGUAGGAUGCAAGCGUUAUCCGGAUUUACUGGGUGUAAAGGGAGCGCAGGCGGGACUGCAAGUUGGAUGUGAAAUACCGUGGCUUAACCACGGAACUGCAUCCAAAACUGUAGUUCUUGAGUGAAGUAGAGGCAAGCGGAAUUCCGAGUGUAGCGGUGAAAUGCGUAGAUAUUCGGAGGAACACCAGUGGCGAAGGCGGCUUGCUGGGCUUUAACUGACGCUGAGGCUCGAAAGUGUGGGGAGCAAACAGGAUUAGAUACCCUGGUAGUCCACACUGUAAACGAU
rnacentral:rRNA from 1 species